GAUGAACGCUGGCGGCGUGCCUAACACAUGCAAGUCGAGCGAAAAGACGAGGAGCUUGCUCCUUUGACGUUAGCGGCGGACGGGUGAGUAACACGUGGAUAACCUACUUAUAAGACUGGGAUAACUUCGGGAAACCGGUGAUAAUACCGGAUAAUAUAUUGAACCGCAUGGUUCAAUAGUGAAAGACGGUUUUGCUGUCACUUAUAGAUGGAUCCGCGCCGCAUUAGCUAGUUGGUAAGGUAACGGCUUACCAAGGCAACGAUGCGUAGCCGACCUGAGAGGGUGAUCGGCCACACUGGAACUGAGACACGGUCCAGACUCCUACGGGAGGCAGCAGUAGGGAAUCUUCCGCAAUGGGCGAAAGCCUGACGGAGCCACGCCGCGUGAGUGAUGAAGGUCUUCGGAUCGUAAAACUCUGUUAUUAGGGAAGAACAACUGUGUAAGUAACCAUGCACGUCUUGACGGUACCUAAUCAGAAAGCCACGGCUAACUACGUG
rnacentral:rRNA from 1 species